AUGAAAGGUGCCUUUAGUCACAAUAAGUUUCUCUGUUAUUAGCAGCCUCCUUCCUUGGUCCGCUUGCUGCUGGAUGAUUUACUGCUUGGAGAAUUUCUCAGCUCUUUCAUAAUUUAUUGAAUCUGGAUAAACCCUUAAAGCUCAGCUGUUUUCACGGGAAAAUUCAAUUUAGCUCAAAGGACGCUUCUCCAAAAGCUUCAUCGACUUCUCAGAGGUUCUCAGAGGAUGCUUCAACAAUAUGGUUCCUAGAGCUUCAUCAACUUCCGCACUAAACAAGUUGAAGAAGAGGAUGCUUGUUCUCUUGAAGCAAAUCCUUUUGACGAAGAGCGCCAAAAUGUGGUUCCCACAGGAUGCUUGUUCUGUUACAUUUGGCAAAUCCUUUGGAUGCUUGUUCAUUGCUGUGAAAUCCUUUUGGGUUCAAUGAAAUUGAGCAAGUUGGCGAUUGAUUAAGUUUUUGCCUAAUGUUGACUUGUUGAGCAAUGCUAUCUAAAGACAAAUAGGAAGAGAAAAGGUUUUUGAUCUUUGAUUUGUUGUGUACAAACUUGAAUAGGAAUAGAGUGAUGUUAAUUGUUGAGUUGUUAUGCACAAACUUUGCAAUUGUCUAUCACUGUUCUUGAAGCGACAUGGAUGAGAUGCAGAGGCUUGAUGGCAAUGUGUGGCAAGGGAGGAAAGACCAGCGUUGCGUGUGGUGGAAGGGAGCUAGCAUGUGAAAACAAAGUCGGGUUGUGCGGUAGACAGUCUGUGUAACUGUUAAGUUUCUCUGUUGUAGUACCCAAGUUUUUU
rnacentral:misc_RNA from 1 species